rnacentral:rRNA from 1 species
CACGUAGGGGGGCAAGCGUUGUCCGGAAUUAUUGGGCGUAAAGAGCUCGUAGGCGGUCUGUCGCGUCGGUCGUGAAAACUUGGGGCUUAACCCUGAGCUUGCGGUCGAUACGGGCAUGACUGGAGUUCGGCAGGGGAGACUGGAAUUCCUGGUGUAGCGGUGAAAUGCGCAGAUAUCAGGAGGAACACCGGUGGCGAAGGCGGGUCUCUGGGCCGAUACUGACGC